rnacentral:rRNA from 1 species
GACGAACGCUGGCGGCGUGCCUAACACAUGCAAGUCGAACGAAGAAUGUUUUUCGGAAUAUUCUUAGUGGCGGACGGGUGAGUAACGCGUGAACAAUCUGCCCCGUACAAAGGGAUAGCCUCGGGAAACCGGGAUUAAAACCAUAUAACACUUAACUGCCGCAUGGUAGUGAAGUCAAAUCGAGUAAGAGGUAUGGGAUGAGUUCGCGUCUGAUUAGCUAGUUGGUGAGGUAAGGGCUCACCAAGGCGACGAUCAGUAGCCGGCCUGAGAGGGUGAACGGCCACACUGGAACUGAGACACGGUCCAGACUCCUACGGGAGGCGGCAGUGGGGAAUAUUGCACAAUGGAGGGAACUCUGAUGCAGCGACGCCGCGUGAGUGAAGAAGGUCUUCGGAUCGUAAAACUCUGUCCUUGGUGAAGAAAGGACGGUAGCCAAGGAGGAAGCCCCGGCUAACUACGUG